AGAGUUUGAUCCUGGCUCAGGACGAACGCUGGCGGCGUGCCUAAUACAUGCAAGUCGAGCGCGGGAAGCGAGUGGAUCCCUUCGGGGUGAAGCUCGUGGAACGAGCGGCGGACGGGUGGGUAACACGUGGGCAACCUGCCUGUAAGAUCGGAAUAACCCCGGGAAACCGGGGCUAAUGCCGGGUAAUACUUUCUUUCGCAUGAAGGAAAGUUGAAAGAUGGCUUCUUGCUAUCACUUACAGAUGGGCCCGCGGCGCAUUAGCUAGUUGGUGAGGUAACGGCUCACCAAGGCGACGAUGCGUAGCCGACCUGAGAGGGUGAUCGGCCACACUGGGACUGAGACACGGCCCAGACUCCUACGGGAGGCAGCAGUAGGGAAUCUUCCGCAAUGGACGAAAGUCUGACGGAGCAACGCCGCGUGAACGAUGAAGGUCUUCGGAUCGUAAAGUUCUGUUGUUAGGGAAGAACAAGUACCGUGCGAAUAGAGCGGUACCUUGACGG
rnacentral:rRNA from 1 species